rnacentral:misc_RNA from 1 species
AGUUCCAUGGGUCUUCUAUAGUCCACGCCAGGUACACGAUAUCGAUACAGGCACACACACGGUACAUGCAGCGGAAAAGUUUUCACCGCCGAGGAGCGGAGGGCGAGGACACCAGACAAUGUGGUACAAUGUACGAAUACGACUACUAUAUACCCAGUUAAAUGUCCAGCCUGCGAGACCCAAGGUCAAAAGACAGCUCUAUCUCCAGACGGACAAAUACUAUCCCUGCAGUUUACCAACUGUCUCAGGUCGGAAAGUCUCAGGUCGGAUAGUCUCGUUGUCGGUCAUCUCAGAGUGACGUAACUGAAUGGGGCGUGCGUAUAACGAUUGGUUCAGACAUUUUCGUGCAAAAAGUCACAUGGAGCCUCAGUGAACAGCACACACACACACACACACACACACCAGUCCAACCAGACUUUGGCGGUACAUCUCACACUCAAUCUCGCCAAAACCAGUCUCAAUUUACCGUUAGUCUCAUUAUAUUCCCACAAGACACGAUAUUGGUCUCACCAUGCUGGACACGGUUAAGAUUCCACCCCUGGCUAAUCUCUCCCUGGUGACCAAACCAUGACCUUCUCUUCUGUCCAGAGUGGAUAUGUAAUCGCCAUUAGUGUCUGCCGAGAGCCGACAAACUCUCCGAAUAAUCUUCGUCGAAGGCACUCGGGCAAAUCAAUGUGCUGUGACACAUGUCCAACGAGCUGUCAGCCAAAACAAGCCGUCGUCUGACAGCUGUCAGAACAGUCACGUCUCCUGUCAGUGUCAAGCCAAUUCGCGCUUAUGUGAACACCUGGGUUUGGGGCGGUUAAUUGGGCAAGAGCCACUGGCGCGGUGAAAGGAACCAGGCGACACUCCCGACACGGACUUCCCAGACUACCCGUGCAUUAGUCUACAUGCGAUAAGAGAGAUAACGAGUUUAUCCGCGCGGUGGAGCCUUGGCAUUCUAGUGGUACAGCGAGCGUUGGGUACAGCGAGCGUUGGGCACACCAACCGGUCCGGGAUAAUAUCCACAGUCACGGGACAAGCCCCGCGGUCCGCGAACAAACGCAGUUUACCUCCUUGUCCUGUGACGUCCCUUAUGAGACUAAUUUGGCGCGCCGGACCGUGUCAUUGGGUCGUUGUCGUAUUCGCCUAGGGAGGUCGUAUUCGUCUAGAGAGGUCGUAUUCGUCUAGGGAGGUUGUAUCUUCGUGUGGCUGUGGACACUUCUAGACUUCCACUGCUGUCUCAGUUGUCUACAAUUGACUCAAUCGACUAAUUGCAACUAGACAACCACGUGAUUAACAGUAUCGUAUCCACGUUGAUGUCCAGACAUUCACAGAACGCGAGAAUCUACCGUGAUACGUUCACGUUUACACCACAGUUUUCAAUUGAGCCCAAGCUGUAACAGAUGGCGCUCUUAGUAAGUGC